rnacentral:rRNA from 1 species
UACGAAGGGUGCAAACGUUGCUCGGAAUUAUUGGGCGUAAAAGCGCACGUAGGCGGCAUUGCAAGUCGGAUGUGAAAUCCCUCGGCUUAACCAAGGAAGUGCAUCCGAAACUGCAGUGCUUGAGUACUUAAGAGGAUCGCGGAAUUCCCGGUGUAGAGGUGAAAUUCGUAGAUAUCGGGAGGAACACCAGUGGCGAAGGCGGCGAUCUGGGAAGAUACUGACGCUGAGGUGCGAAAGCGUGGGGAGCAAACAGGG